UGGAUCCAGACUUUGAUCAUGGCUCAGGACGAACGCUGGCGGCGUGCUUAACACAUGCAAGUCGAACGGAGCACCCUUGAAGGAGUUUUCGGACAACGGAUAGGAAUGCUUAGUGGCGGACUGGUGAGUAACGCGUGAGGAACCUGCCUUUCAGAGGGGGACAACAGUUGGAAACGACUGCUAAUACCGCAUGAUGCAUUGGGGUCGCAUGGCUCUGAUGCCAAAGAUUUAUCGCUGAAAGAUGGCCUCGCGUCUGAUUAGCUAGUUGGUGAGGUAACGGCCCACCAAGGCGACGAUCAGUAGCCGGACUGAGAGGUUGGCCGGCCACAUUGGGACUGAGAUACGGCCCAGACUCCUACGGGAGGCAGCAGUGGGGAAUAUUGGGCAAUGGGCGCAAGUCUGACCCAGCAACGCCGCGUGAAGGAAGAAGGCUUUCGGGUUGUAAACUUCUUUUAAGGGGGAAGAGCAGAAGACGGUACCCCUUGAAUAAGCCACGGCUAACUACGUGCCAGCAGCCGCGGUAAUACGUAGGUGGCAAGCGUCGUCCGGAUUUACUGGGUGUAAAGGGCGUGCAGCCGGGAAGACAAGUCAGAUGUGAAAUCCCGCGGCUCAACCGCGGAACUGCAUUUGAAACUGUUUUUCUUGAGUAUCGGAGAGGUCAUCGGAAUUCCUAGUGUAGCGGUGAAAUGCGUAGAUAUUAGGAAGAACACUAGUGGCGAAGGCGGAUGACUGGACGACAACUGACGGUGAGGCGCGAAAGCGUGGGGAGCAAACAGGAUUAGAUACCCUGGUAGUCCACGCUGUAAACGAUCAAUACUAGGUGUGCGGGGACUGACCCCCUGCGUGCCGGAGUUAACACAAUAAGUAUUGCACCUGGGGAGUACGAUCGCAAGGUUGCAACUCAAAUGAAUUGACGGA
rnacentral:rRNA from 1 species